AGAAUCAACGCUGGCGGCGUGCCUAACACAUGCAAGUCGAACGAGAAAGUGGAGCAAUCCAUGAGUACAGUGGCGCACGGGUGAGUAACACGUGACUACCUACCCUCGAGUGGGGAAUAACCUCGGGAAACCGGGGCUAAUACCGCAUAACAUCUACGGAUCAAAUGCGAAAGCAGCUUGAGGAGGGGGUCGCGGCCAAUUAGCUAGUUGGUGAGGUAAUGGCCCACCAAGGCAAUGAUCGGUA
rnacentral:rRNA from 1 species